rnacentral:rRNA from 1 species
GACGAACGCUGGCGGCGUGCCUAAUACAUGCAAGUAGAACGCUGAAGAGAGGAGCUUGCUCUUCUUGGAUGAGUUGCGAACGGGUGAGUAACGCGUAGGUAACCUGCCUUGUAGCGGGGGAUAACUAUUGGAAACGAUAGCUAAUACCGCAUAACAAUGGAUGACACAUGUCAUUUAUUUGAAAGGGGCAAUUGCUCCACUACAAGAUGGACCUGCGUUGUAUUAGCUAGUAGGUGAGGUAAUGGCUCACCUAGGCGACGAUACAUAGCCGACCUGAGAGGGUGGUCGGCCACACUGGGACUGAGACACGGCCCAGACUCCUACGGGAGGCAGCAGUAGGGAAUCUUCAGCAAUGGGGGCAACCCUGACCGAGCAACGCCGCGUGAGUGAAGAAGGUUUUCGGAUCGUAAAGCUCUGUUGUAAGUCAAGAACGGGUGUGAGAGUGGAAAGUUCACACUGUGACGGUAGCUUACCAGAAAGGGACGGCUAACUACGUG